rnacentral:lncRNA from 1 species
GGGGCGUGUGACUUAUACGCCGCCUGGAUUCCUCACAAAUGUGAUAUAACUAAAUCGUAUACCAACUUAGAAUUUUUAGUAGAAAUAAGAAAACAGCGACACCCGCGAAAUUGGAUGUAUAUGAGAAGGAUUAUCAUGUUUAAUCUAAAAAUUCACAUUGGUAAUUUAGAAUCGUCGAAAUGCAAGACCGAGGAAUGCAAAUUCAUGGCGGCUUGAACUAUUUGUAUGAGGCUUCAUAUGUAAGAAAUGAGAAGGCCUGACUGCAAUAAACCUCGCACACAGAUAUUUUGC